rnacentral:rRNA from 1 species
GACGAACGCUGGCGGCGUGCUUAACACACGUAAGUCGAACGGAAAGGCCCUGCUUUUGUGGGGUGCUCGAGUGGCGAACGGGUGAGUAACACGUGAGUAACCUGCCCUUGACUUUGGGAUAACUUCAGGAAACUGGGGCUAAUACCGGAUAGGAGCUCCUGCUGCAUGGUGGGGGUUGGAAAGUUUCGGCGGUUGGGGAUGGACUCGCGGCUUAUCAGCUUGUUGGUGGGGUAGUGGCUUACCAAGGCUUUGACGGGUAGCCGGCCUGAGAGGGUGACCGGCCACAUUGGGACUGAGAUUCGGCCCAGACUCCUACGGGAGGCAGCAGUGGGGAAUAUUGCACAAUGGGCGGAAGCCUGAUGCAGCAACGCCGCGUGCGGGAUGACGGCCUUCGGGUUGUAAACCGCUUUCGCCUGUGACGAAGCGUGAGUGACGGUAAUGGGUAAAGAAGCACCGGCUAACUACGUG